UGCAAGUCGAGCGAAGGUGUCUUAGGGGUAACCCUGAGAUACACUUAGCGGCGAACGGGUGAGUAAUACGUGGAUAACUUACCUCUAGGCCUGGGAUAACCCCGGGAAACUGGGGCUAAUACCAGAUAAGACCACAUUGUCUACGGACAAAGAGGUAAAAGGUGGCUGUGCAAGCAGCUAUCGCCUAAAGACAGGUUCACGUCCCAUCAGGCAGUUGGUGAGGUAACGGCUCACCAAACCAAAGACGGGUAGCCGGCCUUGGCGGGUGAACGGCCACACGGGGACUGAGACACGGCCCCGACUCCUACGGGAGGCAGCAGUGGGGAAUAUUGGGCAAUGGGCGCAAGCCUGACCCAGCGACGUCGCGUUGGGGAAGAAGGCCUUCGGGUUGUAAACCCAUGUCGGGAGGAAAGAUGGGUCCAUUUGCUAAUACCAAACGGACUUGACGGUACCUCCGGAGGAAGCCCCGGCUAACUCCGUGCCAGCAGCCGCGGUAAUACGGAGGGGGCAAGCGUUGCUCGGAUUUACUGGGCGUAAAGGGUCCGUAGGUGGCUCUGUAAGUUAGAUGUGAAAGCUUAAGGCUCAACCUUAAAAUUGCAUCUAAAACUGCAGAGCUAGAGUCCAGGAGAGGUUGGCGGAAUUCCCGGUGUAGCGGUGAAAUGCGUAGAUAUCGGGAGGAACACCAGUGGCGUAGGCGGCCAACUAGCCUGGAACUGACAUUGAGGGACGAAAGCGUGGGUAGCGAACCGGAUUAGAUACCCGGGUAGUCCACGCCCUAAACGAUGGAUGCUAGGUGUGGGGAUGUAAAUCUCCGUGCCGCAGCAAACGCAUUAAGCAUCCCGCCUGGGGAGUACGGUCGCAAGGCUAAAACUCAAAGGAAUUGGCGGGGGCCCGCACAAGCGGUGGAGCAUGUGGUUUAAUUCGAUGCUAAGCGAAGAACCUUACCAGGGUUUGACAUGCUGACUUAAGCCUAUGUGAAAGCAUU
rnacentral:rRNA from 1 species